CUAAUUAUUCUUGAGUAGGAAAACCAAAUUUACUGUUUUCCUCCUCAAAGCAAAGAAAACAAAGACAGUUUGUCGAAGAUAAGAAAGAGGGCUUAAUAAUUAGAUGGAAAGAGAGUGAGAGAAAAGGUGAAGAAAGAUGCUCCCGCUAAAGCUGGUACGCUCUCUAGUCUUUGGAGAAACCAUCAACAACAACCCUCUCCUUCUCCCCCAAAAUCAACAUGACGAAGAUCCCCACCACAACAAUGACGAUGGCUACGAUGCUGACUCUAAUGCCAAAGAUGGUCAUCACAAACCGACAGAAGGAAGAAGCAAAACCAGCAAAUCGAGAACCCCAUUUCUCCUCUUCCUCCCAACCAAAGAACUUGUCGCAGACACAUACAGACUGGCCACCAUAGCCAGAGACAUGGGCAUGGAUUUGCACCCAACCCCAUCUCUCUCCCACAUCAUUCUCUCAUACCCACCACCGCCAUCAUCAUCGUCAUCAUCUCCAUCUUCAACAUCACCAUCAACAUAUUCAUGGUCAUCGUCAUCACUCUCAUCAACAUCUUUGCCCGACGACACUGUUCCCCUCCCUUUCCCUUCUCUCUCCACAGCCUCCAUUUCCCAUCUUCGCGCCUUUGUCAAGCUCUCCAAAGGCCUGUUCAAGCUGGUAUUUGUGCGCUCCAAUUGUAAAGCCACUGAGGCAACUAGUGAAAGCAAUUGGAAUUGCUCAUCAAUGUCGCUGUUUUCGCGGCUCACCGGAGACCGAAUUGACACAAUGGAAGGGUUUUCUCGGGCUUUGGCCGGACUGGGGUGGACCCUUUUCAAGACUAAAGAAAACCCAUCAGCGGAUUCGGGCCAUAGGCGAGUUUGCGGUGGCAAAUCGGUGUAUCUGUUUCGGAAGGUCGAUACAAACAGGGUUAGGGCUUGCACUGCUGGGGAAUGUAGGGUUCGGGAGUUGAGGUUGCCCCCAUUGGAUUUUAGUAAUGCCCCUUUGAGGAUUUUGCAAUACAUUCUCCUUAUGACGGAUGAUAUCUUCUAUCUCGCAUAAAUCAGAUAUUGGAACAUUGAUGGAAGCUUAACUCUAGCACUCUAUGAUGAUGGGUCUCCAAAAUGGAUCACCGUUUGUUCCUUCAAAGAUAUGAUGUCUCGUCAGAGCAUUCGCAGCAUCUCUCAAGGAUUCACAAAACAAAAAGAGAAAUUGUCAAACUCGCAUAUUAGAAAGAUAUUCUACAUGUCCAAAAGAAUAACAGAGGGAAAAAGAAUUGGAGUUAGACUCUGAAAUGUAAGAAGUUGAUGUCUAUGUCUUCCGGAAGCCUACGCUGAGGAGGAAACUUGGGCAAGAGAUUUGCUAUGCGCUUAGCGGUUUCCAAAUAAUCAGAAAAUUUUGCGAAUUGAGCGUGCUUCCCUGCAUUGUUGCCAUCUUUAGAUUGGUCAUGGCCAAUGUUCAUUCCUUGUAUAGCAUUGUCAAGUAGGUCUUGAUGUGCCUUCUUCUUGAAAGUCCAGCUUCCGCUUCUCAAAUUGAAGUGAUACAGAGGAAGGAACCGUUGUCCGUAAAUAGCUAUAAACUCCAACGCAGUUAAAAUGAACUCGAAU